AGCCGGCGGCGCUCCGGCAGCGCACGGGAGAGCCGCAGCCUCGGCGGCGGCGGCAGCGGCGGCAGCAGCGCCUCCGCCCGCAGUGCGUGUGUGUGUGCGUGUGUGUGAUGAGCGAUCGCCGCGUCCCUCCGCCCGCCGCCGGCUGACACCCACCGCGCGGGGCGCGCCAGGAGCAGCAGGAGGAGGAGGCAGGAGCCGCGGCCACCGCACAGUGACCUUGGCCCAGGAGUGCAACAUCCAAAAGCGGAUCAAAUUUGUGGGACAUGGCACAAGGAAAUAAUUAUGGGCAAAGCAGCAAUGGGGUGGCUGAUGAAUCCCCAAACAUGCUGGUGUACAGAAAGAUGGAAGAUGUCAUAGCCCGCAUGCAAGAUGAGAAAAAUGGGAUUCCUAUUCGUACAGUGAAAAGCUUUCUUUCCAAGAUCCCCAGUGUCUUUUCUGGUUCAGACAUUGUUCAAUGGUUAACGAAGAACUUAUCUAUAGAAGACCCAGUGGAAGCUCUACAUUUAGGAACAUUGAUGGCAGCACAUGGCUAUUUCUUUCCAAUCUCAGAUCAUGUUCUAACACUGAAGGAUGAUGGCACCUUUUAUCGAUUCCAGACACCCUACUUUUGGCCAUCAAAUUGUUGGGAGCCGGAAAACACAGACUAUGCUGUUUACCUCUGCAAGCGGACAAUGCAAAACAAAGCAAGGCUAGAGCUAGCAGACUAUGAAGCUGAGAGUUUGGCCAGGCUACAGCGAGCAUUUGCUCGGAAAUGGGAGUUUAUUUUUAUGCAAGCUGAAGCACAAGCAAAGGUUGACAAGAAGAGAGACAAGAUAGAGAGGAAGAUUCUUGACAGCCAGGAGCGAGCAUUCUGGGAUGUGCACCGUCCGGUGCCUGGAUGUGUAAACACUACUGAAGUGGAUAUAAAAAAAUCUUCAAGAAUGAGAAAUCCACAUAAAACAAGAAAGUCUGUCUAUGGCUUACAAAAUGACAUUCGAAGUCACAGCCCUACCCACACGCCAGUACCAGAGACUAAGCCACCCACAGAAGAUGAACUACACCAAGAGAUUAAGCACUGGCAAAUGCAGUUAGACAGACAUAGAUUAAAAAUGUCAAAAGUUGCAGAGAGUCUAUUAGCUUAUACAGAGCAGUAUUUGGAAUAUGAUCCUUUUCUUGUGCCCCCUGAUCCAUCAAACCCUUGGAUAUCAGAUGACACCACUUUCUGGGAACUGGAGGCAAGCAAAGAGCCAGGACAGCAGAGGGUGAAACGAUGGGGAUUUGGCAUGGAUGAAGCUUUGAAAGACCCUGUGGGAAGAGAGCAGUUUCUGAAAUUCUUGGAGUCAGAAUUCAGUUCAGAAAAUUUAAGGUUCUGGUUAGCAGUAGAAGACCUGAAGAAGAGGCCUAUCCGUGAAGUCCCUGCUCGCGUCCAAGAAAUCUGGCAAGAAUUUCUUGCUCCGGGUGCACCCAGCGCUAUCAACCUAGAUUCAAAAAGUUAUGACAAAACCACUCAGAAUGUGAAGGACCCUGGAAGAUACACAUUUGAGGAUGCUCAGGAGCACAUUUACAAACUGAUGAAAAGUGAUUCUUAUCCUCGUUUUAUACGAUCCAGUGCCUACCAGGAGCUGCUACAGGCCAAGAAAAAGGUAUUGGUCCAUCUUGCCUUUGUCUUGCCACUGUGCAAAGCAGUGGUUAUGUUUGCAACAAUACUCAGUCUUCUCUCCCCUGUGCCAGUGCAACUGGAUAUCUGGUAGGUGACCAGCUUGGCGUGUUUGGAGGGUCACAUACACACAGGAGUUCAAUAUACAUAUAUGUGUAUAUAUCCUGCAUGCGGGCAUGUUUCAAUAAGUUAAUCUAGCAAAACUUAUUUUUAUUUUUACAUCCCAUAUUGUACUGUUUUCUCUGUUAUGAAGCACCUUAAAUUGCAAAGUGCUUUACAAAUACAUUAAAAAAAAUAAAAUAAAUUCCCAGAAGAAUAGUCUUUCAUGUUUGCAAGUUUGCUUAUGUAAUAAUUGUUGUUCUCUUUAUUCCACCUAUAAAAGCUACAGAAUGCGUUUAGAAACAAUCUUAUUCUUAUGGAUUACUUCUAAUUUCAACUACAAAUAUAGGGGCUUCCUAAUUUUGUUUCUUUCCCUAUUAUUACGUGAAUAGUUUUGAGUAGGCUAGGAAUCUGACUUGAAAGACUGAUCAUGUCACACUUCGGCAAACAGAAGCUCAUGUCUUGGUAUGUAAUAUUUACUUAGAAAAAUUCAGAUUAUGGAAUGAGUUUUAAAUAGCCACAGCCCAGAGUAUGUGGAGCAGCUUGUGCAUUGCAGAUUUCUAUAAUGAUAAAUAAUUUUAUCAGUGGGCUUUUAAUAGUAAUCUCCUAGAAUCAGCUUGGAACCCUGUGCCUUGCAAAAUCAGGGCCCUGAUUGUUACCGGAACAAGGUAGUUAUUAAUACCAUAGCAUUCUAUUGUUUACAAUGACAACCUAAAAUUAUAUGAAAAUACUGUGUGAUUUUGUUUUUUGUUCAAACAUUGAUUUCUGAAGAUCCAAUAUAGAGAGAGAUGUUGAAAAAACCAGAAAGCUUCAACUGUCCGUGUGAAGUCCUUAAGUUUGUGAAUGUCAGUUCAUUAACACAAGAUGUGCACUUCAUGAUUUCUUUUUAUUUUCAGUUUUUCUUUAAAUUCAAACCAUAAAGUUUUAUCCCCAUGAAAAAUUAUUUUUGUCGAGUACUAUAUCUGCUUCGCCCAUCCACUGUUUUGCCGAGUCCCAUUACAGCCUCAUACCUGUGUUUGCUUCCUGAUUUAUACAAACUUUGUUUUGCAGUCCAUUGUUUCAUCAAUCCUUCUUUUCUACUCCAUUUUUCUCGCUUUUCUUUUUCCCCUCCUUUUUCUUUUUGUUUCUUUUGUUUUAUUUAUUUUAAAUUUAAGUUGGAAAACACUCUGGAUCGUCGAACAUCUUUUGAGAAAUUCACACGCAAUGUGGUAAGUUUGUUGCCUCGGAAGACUAGUAAGCCUGAUGGGACAUCCUUCUCCCCUUCCCCUUGCUGAUUCCUACUUUUCCUUUUUGCUUCUCUAACCUGACAGUUAAAAGUGUAUUCAUCACGGUUUGUGGAUUUUCCUGGGAAUUACAGCUUUAUAAUCUGCUUUCAUUACUACUCCUCCUCCUAGUCCCUUUCCCAGUGAUCUCAAUAGUUACACAUGGAGGAAUGGACCUUUGGGAGCCAUGCUUUUUGCAUUAGGAAGCAUGAAAUUAGUAACUUUUUUUUUUUUUUUGCUUUAAUUUUAGUAAAGAAUCUGUGAAAACCUGCUUGAUGUUGUUUCUUUUUCUGGUGCCUCCCAAAAUACUGAGUCUAAAACACUUGAAUACAUUGGAUUUCCAUCCUGUCUUCUUUUUAUUUUACUAAAAAAUACUUUGUCCCAUUUUUGUUGAUUUGGCACAGGGAAAAAUAAACAAUAAUAAUUUCCCCAUCUUCCUUAAAGUCUAACACAGCUUCUGCAGGACCAAAGGAUUCAUGCUGUUGAUGUGCGAGGGUUUGAUUUGGAUUAUUUUCAUAAUGGAUUAAAAGAACUGAUUUUUUCUUUUCAAUAUGUAAUUUUUGAAAGCUAUUUCUUGAAUGUAAAAAAAAAAAAAGGAGGCUAGUAGGUUUGAUGUGGACAUUCUUUUACCACCUGCCAAAAGAUCCACUGAUUUCCUGAUAUUUGGGAUUCUUUUUACUAAUCCAGUUUCUUUGGAAUUAAUUUUUUUUUUUUUUUUUUUGCAUUGUGAAAGUUCAAACUAAAGAAUUCAACGCAUUUAUUUUUGUAGGGCAGAAACAUCCCAAUUUUCCCAUGCCAUAAAAACUGUACACCAACACUGAGGGCGAGCACUAACCUGUUAUGAAAAGAGGUAAAGGCUUCCUGUAAUAUGCUUUGAAUCCACUGUAAUCAGGAAGAAAUUUGGAUUCAAUGGGACAAAGUCAGUAAAGGACACUAAAAGUAAAUAAACAGCCACAAAGGAAACUAUCCCAGUGUUUGAAACAAAAACCCCUAUGUUUUGCAUGGUGGUGUUGCCAUAGCAUGUUGCAGUGUGAUUUGUGUGUUGUCUAAGCAGGUUGGAUCUAUAAAACAAGAUUGUACAUGAUAACAUUUUACAUGAUAAUUCCGCUAUAAUUCUGUAGGAAGUUCCAUAUGAAUAAAAAUUCUGUAAAAGAGAGUGCAGAGAGUGGGUAAUACAUCUGGGAUCUCUGAGAGCCAGACUUCUUCUCAGUCAUGGUGCCUGGCAAGCUGCAAUGCUACGUUUAUUCCUGGCAUUUUGAACAGCCUACAGGUCAGGAAUUGGCUAUGGUAAAGGUUAUGUGAACAGGUGGCUAUGAGGAGAGAAAUAGCAAGCUGCAGAUAGAUGGGAGGAGAAUAAAGCACAAAGAGGGAAAAAGUGAAGACAGACUGGAGACACUGAAGUCACUCCCAGAGCACUGUUAUGGAUAAACCAGCAGUUCUGGGCACAAACAUGGAGCAUUGUGCCCUUCAGCCAUGCCCAAUUUUCAUCGUGCUAAUCUCAAGGCAGAAGUACCAGAAUAGCAGGAUGCCAGAAACACAAAGCAGGCCCAAUAAACCAGCUGCAAACUACAAAUGGCAGUGAGGAUUUCUGGACAUGAAGCAUUAGUACUGUAGAAGAGGGCGAUUUAUUUUUUCUUUUCACAGAGCAAGCUGUAAAAUAAAAUCUGUGGUUUUGCUUUUCUUCAAACUACUGCCUUUUAAUCUGGGUGGAGUCUGUCAAAUCAGGUCAGGUAUGAAAGAAAAACAUGUCUCUGUUAGAUCUAUUCAGAUGACUGAAUUCUUGUUACCCACUUCCUCAGGACCCCUUGCCACAAGGCAUCCUUAUUCUUCCAGUCUUGUUCUUGGCUGUGAUAAGUUUAUGAUAUGUAAUUAUCUACCUUGGUACAGUGGUUCCAACUAGCAGGGAUGAGGGAAACAUUUCUCAGAAUAUCCUACAGAGUACUGAUUAACUUGCUCAAUUGUGAAGCGGGGGACUGUAGAAUAGAUCUGCUCUACAGAACAUAGUGUGAAAUAGGUCUUCUGCCACCUGGAUAAAUGUUGUCAUCUCUGAACGAUUUAGUGAAAUGAAAUUUACAGUUUCUUUUCUCCUCUGAUGGUUUACAAUAUUUAGACUAAUUUUCACUGGAUUUUUUUGUCACAUCAAAGUAGACUUGUAUUGAACUAAAUUAGACCUCAGUUUUUUCUAUUUGAAAUGUUUAAAAAACCCCAGUUACCAUGGUUGUGUAUAGGGAGACAAUCUGAGAAGAUGGCCUUGUAAUUCAUAAUCUGAUUUAUUGAGAGGGAGACUCUAAGAAGCUGCUGAUCAGUGUUAAGUGAAAUUGGGUUAUACUUGCUACAGAAAAAAUUUGUUAAACUAGAAAGUUUAGAAACUUUUUAAGGGCAAUUACACUGUACUAUUUAAUGAAUUAUGUAGAAAUAACCUAUUAUAAUGAGUCAUUAUUCUAGUCUGAUGGGGAAAAAAUAGAAGUGCAUCUAUAUCCACAUAAACACUAGGCUCAGCUCUGUAUCUCUUUGACAUUAAAGAGUUUUUUCUCAGAAAACUUUCAAUAAGUUGGGGCACUUCAUGAAAGCCUUAAAUGCUCAGCUUAAAAGCACUGACUAUUUAUCUUGCUCUAAGGAUUUUAUAGUGCAAAAUUGCUAGUGCCUUCAGCAUACUGCAACAAACAGUAUGAAUAGUGUUAGAAACAGGUCUGCAUUCACAUAAAAUACACAGAAGUAAUAGCAAAUUGACAUUUGCAAUAUGUAAUUUUUACUACUGAACACUUUAUAUUUUGCAUCUGGGUAGUAACCCCAGCUAUUCUUGCUUUGCCUCAUUUACUCACACUCCUGGGUAUUGUUGAAAAUAUAGAACUCAUACACUUCAGCACUACUGGAAUGAAGCCAUUGGAUAAGUUGCCUUGGAGUAACACUGGCAACCACAGGUGUCAAAGCUCUGAAUCUGAGGCACAGAGAGCAGUGAUAGUGUGCACUGUGCUUCCCCCUCUCCCCAUCUAGAUCAGCCCUUCAGCUUUCUCUUUGAGAAUAAUAAAGGUGCAGUUACCUGCAUCUCCCAAGGGAAGCUAAGGGUUUAUGUCAGGGAGCAGGAGGAUCUCAUCAUAUGCUACAGCAGUAGAGAGACAGAACUCCAUUAUUUCUAUGGCAUUUAAAAACUGAAAUUCUUUUUGAGGGAUUUACAUGGAGAAAAAAAAUAUUUAAAAAAAAAAAAAAUCCCAGCAAACUUCCUCUACCUCAGGUGCUAAUAUCUAUAUUACAGGGAAUUGUACAAGAUUUGUGACAGGGGUAGACUGAGCAGAACACCUUUGUGAGCCCAAGCCUGGUGUUUAGCUGCGAUUAUCAGUCUGGAACCCUUGAAGAAAACAGAUCUGAUUUACAGGGGUGUGGGCUGAUUUAAUUUCCAUUCCAUGCAACUUUAUUGUCCCACCAGAAGCAAAGUUAAUAGGGCAAGAAGGUGUAGCCUCUCUCCCCCCAGAGCUGCCUUGGGGGAAACACUCCCUCAUCACUUAUUGGUGCCAUGCCUUCACACCACUCUCAGUGUUAGUGCUGCGUCUGUUGCUGCCCACCUAUAAAGAAUGCAAAAGAAAUGUGCUUGUUGUAAGUUUGUAAUGCCUUAUGAAAAUACAGCCAGUACAAAACAGACCAAACUUAAUUCAUAUAUUAAACUAGAGGCCCAUCAAACUAUAGGUAUCUCCACUCAUAACCUCAUAAACAAGGCCCCAUUUAAAAAUUCAGAGUUUAAAACGAUUAUAUCUUACAUUACACACACCUUUUCCAGCUGUCUUCUCACACUGACCUGGAAGAAGUUGCUGACCAGAGUCCUUUCAUUUUUUCCCCCUCCAAACCAGUAACAACAGACUAUUUAGUGCUGUGAAAUGGCAGUCCAUUAAAUAGAGCAUAUUGACAUUUCCACAGAGGCUCGGUCCAAUGUCACUUAACAUGACAUAGUGAAUUAUGGCCUAGAAAUGGAAGUUAAAACUCAUAAAAAUAGCUUCCUCUGUUAUUAUCAGUAGAUCAUAGACUCCCUAGAUGCAUAAAUAAGUGUAAUCUAUUGUCGUAUUAAAAUCCGUCCCUUUACUGAGAAACAAGGCAGAUAAUAUAUGAAAUUCAUCUGUUAAUCAAGAAAUUUUUCUAUAUGAACAGGUAAAACUUAUGUACACAAGGCCCUACUGUUCCAGACCAAAAGUUCAUCUAGUCCUCAAAUCCUGCCAGGGCCAGAUUUUUCUCAAGCACAGCAUUGCCCAAGAACUUCAAUGCAGUAUAAGCGGUGGGAUCUCAUUUUGAAUUUAAUUACAUGUUAUUCCCAAAAUUUAAACAACAACAACAAUUUAAAAAAAAAAUCUAGUGAGAAAAAUAAAUCACAAAGCUACUUAUUUGACCAAUGCAAAACAAGAAUGAAAACAAUCAGUAUUUGUAGAAAUGAAGGCUUUUUCCAUUUCAGGAAAGAGAUGUCUUAUUGAUGUUUGACUGAAAAGAACCAAUAAAAUAAUUGAAAUUUUUAGUCUGAACUGCUAACUACUCAAAAUACCCCUAGUUUAGGGUUUUUUUAGGAAUGAUGCCCAUGGUGGAAAAUCAUGAAGGACAUGAAGAGUAGUACUUGCACAGCCAGGUUCAUCUAAGUAAGGGGCCAGCAAGGACUGGUCAGGCAUUAGGCCAGUGUCUGCCAUUUCCCGGCUGACAAACAUUUACCUAAUUCUUAAGCUGUUUGCAGGAAUGAAAACUGCAGAAAGAUAUGGAAACCUGAGGGGUUGGGCUCAGGACAAACAUACUAAAAAUAUUUGUCUUGAGCGUUAGUCCUUUGGAAAUCCACACUUCCAGUUCAAAAUACCAUUUGGCAAGAGUUUGUAGGUCAAUCACAAGUGAGAACAUCUCAUCAGUAAAUGUAAAGAUAAGUGCAAAAGGAGAAAGAAGUGGAGAGUGUCGAUGGAUUUAGAAUGAGCCAAAUCUGGAAAACUGUUGUUCAGUUUCUGCCUCCUGUCCUUAGAUCAGUGAAGGAAAGAGUACUAUUCCCUAAUAAGUAGGGAAGAGAGGGCUGCAAAUCCCAGCCAGAGGCGGGAGGAUUUCCCUGCACAUGCAACCUCUUAGUUCUGCAGCUGUGCUGACAACUCAUGCCCCAAAUUCAGUAAAUAUUAACCUCCUCCCUUCCUCACAUAUGAAAGAAAAAUGCACCUGCACAGGUGGCUGAGAGCAGCAUCCUGUGCUGCUGUGGAAACUGAAGCAGAAUUCUGGCCCCCCGCUUCUGUUCCCAUGUCUCUCCAGCUGUGCUCCUCUCAGGGGCAGUUUAUACACCAGUUCUGUGUGUAGUGCACUGCAAUGUCACGUGGAAGCUUUCCCACUGAUGCCAGCUGAGCUGCCAGUUUGUUGCAGGUGUUUCACACAUGACCAGAUGGGGAACUGUGAAAACAAGGAGGGUCAAUUCUUGUUCCACAUCUCAUUUUGCUCACAGUGGGACUCAUGCUAUCUUUCCCUUUCCCCAUAAGAUUACAUGGAGUUUUCAUUUUUAGUUCAGCCAGUAUUAGUCCUGGGGAGUAGCAUCUGCACUGGCAAAUAAAGAAAUAUGAAAAAGGAACCACUGAGAUUGCUUAGUAGAAAGGAAGAUAAUUAAUCUUCUAAAAGGAAAAUACUUGCUCUUCUUCUAUCUAUGUAUCUCUAUAUCAAAUAUGGGCACUCCAGCCCCUAUAUACAUUUUAUAUAAUUUUCUUACAAGUCACAUAUGUACUGAGGUUGCUGCUGAUUUGUUUACGAGGUUAUUUGAGGAGUUAGUGUCAUACUGCAUAAAUGGGUCAGUCAGCACAGUUGUAUUUAGCAGCUCAUACAUCUGCACAUGGCUUUGUAAUUUUCCCCCGAAGUUCUGUAGAGAUAAAGUUGGAGGGACAACUCUAUGUUAAACAGUUAAUACAAUAAGAUGGGGACUGAACACUGAGGACAAUUGAUGUACUUUUAGUACUCUUUUUAAGUAUUUUUAAGUACUCUUAGAUGUACUUUUUCAUUUGUUCAUAUCAGCUGCUUGCUGCCUCGUACUCUGACUCCCUUGUCAGGUUAGGUGUGCAGGGUUUCAUUUUGGAUUGUGUAUUGUUAGUAAAAAUCUUAAAUAGUUGCAAUUCAUAUGUCCAACGUGCACUAAUACAGCUAAAAAAACCCUAAUCCUGUUUAGAAUAUGGCCAUUUACUUCUAAAUGUUGAAGGCAAGUAUAUGCUGAAAAUAUUAAGGUUCUCCUUUUCAUUAUUCAGACAAACACCUACUGCUUCUUCUGACUUUUUUUCCCCCAGUAGUUCUUUAAUCUCAUUAGCACAGGAAGCAUCUUCCUAUGUGUGAUGACUCAUAUGCUACACCUCUGAAAACUGGACUGUUAGAUGCAGGUUCCCAAAUCAAAAUUUGGCUUAUGGAAAUGCUGUUAACAUUGUAUCUCAAAGAAAUAUCUAGGCUCAGCUCUUAAAUUAUGAGCCACAACAGAUGAUCCCUACAUCAGUCUGUAAAUUGAGUAAAUCUGGAAAUCGCCUAAAAGUAAUAAUUAUGAAACACUAGGAUAGAGAGGUAAAAUAAAAGUAUACUCUGGAACAGAGUUUGAAAGGAAUAAUCUGUAAUGUGGAAAAUAACAAGUCCCUGCAGAUCUUAAAAGAAGAUGUGAUAAUUCUGUAUUUGGGUUCUGUGUAUUAUAUAUAUAUAUAAUAUAUAUAUGUAAUAUAUAUAUUCUGUGUAUUUUCCCUAAUCAGAGAAUUUAGUAUGAUUCAGUAUAAACAUUGGAGAAGAUCUCUGAAGGAGGGUGUAUCUUCUAAAUUGUCAGUUUUCCAACUAUAAGAUAAAAUAGAACUACUAAUGCCUUGAAAAAGACCACGUUGUUUUUGUUCAGAUGAAGAGUUCGUAUCUAUAAGAAGUAUAAUAUUCUCUGAGGCAGAGAGCGGAUAUGACAGAGAGGACCACCCAGAGAAUUCCUGAUCAAUGUAGGGUAUAGGAGAAAAAGUAUCCAAAGACUAGCAAUAUCCUGGGAGCAAGUGAUAUGGAAUACAGAAAAAAAUUGUCAUGACAACUCACUGUGCCUCUAGGGGAAAAUUCAAACAACAUGUAGGAAAAGAUUAUACAAGUCAGAUCAAUUAAUAACUUAUUUUUGGUCUGAUUUUAGGUCAAAACUUCCUAGUUUAUUUGAUAACAAAAUUAAUUCCUGAGAUGUUAGAACCAUAGUUCAUUUAAAAAUUCCAGAAAUUUUAUAACUCCUAAAUAAUUGUUGCAAAUAAUAAUAAAAAUUAUUUCACAGAUUUUAUACCACAAGAGCUUAUGCAGCUUUCCAGUGUGAUAUAGAGAAAAUUGUUUUAAUAACUAAAAGAGAACUCCUGGUUUUCAUAUUUUAAUUAAGUGGGUUAUGCAGUUCAGUACUAAAGGGAACUCAUACAUAUUUACAGAAGGUAGCCAGACCUGUAGACCUGUAAAAUUAAGUGCAAAUAACUUAAUGAAAAGCAAAGAUAAGCAUAUGUUCAAUAUUUUCUGAGAUUAUGUCUGAGACUGACAGUCAUGAAUUGUCUAACAAAACACUUAAUUUUGGACAUGCUGUUUUAAAUUGUAUUCCAGUGCCACACUUCUGUUGAGGCUUUUUUUGACUAUUUAAAAAGAAAAGAUGUCUUACUGUAACAACUUUCCUGUUGCAUUAGAGGAAAACAUAAAAUAAGGGUUAACAAGUGUCAAGAAGCUGUGAAUUUAAUAUAGGUAGAAAGUGACAGAUACAAGGAAUACAGUGUGCCAGGAAGGACACUUUCUGUCUUUUGACAAAGCAAGUAUUAAUACUGUCAGGUGAUAUGGUGAACCUGAUGGAUGAGCAGUCUAACCUAACGUUGUAAACAUGAGUUUUGCUUCCAAAUUAUAUUGUAGAGGAAGUAUUCAUCCUAAUUUGUUCAACUUGUAUUUCAGAGCACAAAGAAUAAAAUAGUUAUUCUUCUUUUUAUGAAAACCCACUCUGAUAUAUUGCAUUUGAGCAAAUGCUCAAAACCAACUUACAGAUCCGUGUGAGCAUAAAUUUAAUUGAUAAUGACAAUAGAUAUUAAAUUGUGUAAUUCCACUGUAUUAUAAUACUGCAGAUGACAACUACUUAUUGAUAUAGCAGAAGAAGUUAAUUUAGCAUUUACUGCAGAAAAUGAAGUAUCUCUCCAUAGUUACAGUAUUUCCUACUGUAUUCUCCUUGGAAUCAGUUUGAUAUUUCUGAGUUGGGCACUUAAAAUGAACAAUACAGUAAAUGUAAGUAUUAAAUAUCUAACUGGCAAGUUAGAGCCAUUUUCUGUUUAAUGUUUUAUGAUAUAUUUGUGUUACAUUGUCAGGAUAUGCCUGUGAUAUUUUGAGGAAUGAUGUCAGCUUGCUGUGCCAGCUCUGCCUCUGUGGAUCAGAGCCACGGUAGGAUGGCCCUCGGAGAGCUAACUCCUUCUGUGUGGCCAUAGGAGACCUAAUUCCUGUUCUGUGUUUCCUUUCUGGCUCAGAUAAAGCUCAAAUCUGCUUGAAAUAUAUCAUGGUGACAUAUCAUCCUCUUCACACAAAGACCUAGCUCUUGUGGAACAGUCAUUAUACCUUAUUAAAAGAACUUGCUAAAAAAUUAAAACCACAUCCUUGCAACAGGAGAAAUUAUGAGGAAAACAAUAAUAUGGAAAUCCAAACACCGUCAAAAAGUGUUAUGCAGUGACAUGUAAUAUACCUGACCGAUGUUUCUCGUAAAUAGUAAAUAUGGUCACAACAAGCCUAUAGCUGUGUUCAUGGAAAACCUGCUUUCCUGCCUAUAUGCAAUUUGCCUCUUACUUUCUUACCUUAACUUGAAAGUAGCUUUCUGUCUUUGACAGAGCUACUGCAGUUUGCACAUUCAUCUUUUGCAGCACAAGGCACUCUUGCUUGCAGUAGCCUUCUUCAGGUUCUGGGUAUGACUGACAGCAAAAAUCUCAGUAUCAGUUUCUCAUCAGCCAAAACCAAUCUCAUUCAAAAAUGGUCCUUAAAUUUGCUGGCUUGUUCUGUGAAACAGUCUGGCUGGCUGGCAGUGCAGGUGUUUAAGCCUAAGGACUUCCUGUGGUUUAAGAUUUCACAGACUCCAGUUGGUGCCCCUAGAUACUUGAGAGUGAUGUGGCAACACUGAGUGGUUGCUGAUGAAUAGGUUUGCAGUGAUCAUGCCUCUGUUUUCUGUUUUUGUUUUUUGUUUUUAUCUUUUCCUCAGGGGAAAUCGCUCACAUCAAAGAGGUUAACCAGUCUAGUGCAGUCCUACUAAAAGGAUCACCUUGUAGCAUGGAAGCAGACUCAAAUCAUUAUACAUACUUUGUAGCUCACUGAUUGCCUGACUCAGAGGACAGUAGAACAAGAUGUUGCAUGAGCAAGGACCUGACUUGUUUUCUUUUGUGUAUACUAAGGCAUUACAGACUCCGAGGGACUCUCUAGCCUUUCGAUGCCUCCAUUUCGAAAACUGUCUGCUCACUUCCUCCUUCAUAUCAAGCUGGAUCUGUGUCUUUUUAUUUUCUGCAAGCUCAAGUACAGUGAAAAAAAAGCUUCUGCUAGGCACAGUUUAUUUAAAAAAAUACGUCAAUCAAAAACUGGAAGAAAUGUAAAAAAUGCAUAUAUUAAUAAAUAUACAUAUGGCAUCACAUUUAUUGCACAAUAAAUUAGCACAGAAGGUUUCAUUUCACUGAUGUAUUCACAUUGAGAAAGAAAGCCUGUGUCUUUGUCUGUUGUCUGUAUAUUCUCUGUUAAUGUUUCUUGCAUUUAUUUUUAUACCAUAUUUAAAAAAGAACACCUUUUACUCCAGAUGUAUUAAAGUUGAUCCUUUCUCUGUAAAUUUGUGUAUGUUUAUAUUGUUGUUUUAUCUUUCAUUAAAAGAUGCAGAAUCUC